rnacentral:misc_RNA from 1 species
GAUGAAGAACGUAGCGAAAUGCGAUAAGUAGUGUGAAUUGCAGAAUUCAGUGAAUCAUCGAAUCUUUGAACGCACAUUGCGCCUUCUAGUAUUCUGGGAGGCAUGCCUGUUUGAGCGUCAUUAAACCUCUCUCAAGUAUGAUUACUUGGAUGUGAAGGAAGAGUACCUUAAACUUAAGGAGUGUUCUCCUUUGAAAUUGAUUAGCAGAUGGUAAUGUUAUUAAAUCCCUGAUGUUGUAAGAAAUAACAGUGGUUUUGUAGACUAUUAUCUAGCUUUAAAUUAUAAUUUUUAUUAUGGUUGACCUCAAAUCAGGUAAGGAUACCCGCUGAACUUAAGCAUAUUAAUAAGCGGAGGA